GCCUAUGCUAUUAUUCUGAAGCAGUUAAGUUUUGGAGAAAAAAAAUAGUACACAGUUAUAAGGCCAGGAAUUUAUAAACAUUCAUAAUAAAUGUUUGAAGUUUGUAAAAUGUGGAAGUUUGAAGUUUUCUUCAGUGUAAGGAUGAAAACUAGAAAUAACAAUAGCACUUGCUUGAAAAAAAAUUCUUGACUUAUAUUGGAAAUUUAUAAUUUUAAACUUUAAUUGUUAUGUCUUUGCUGUGCCUACCAGUUAGAAAUGAGUUUACUAUAUUCUUUGUUUGGGUAUUGGUUGUAUUUCUAGGUAAAAAUAUUCUUCAUUUGAUUAUGACACAUUAAUCUUCCUUCUCGGUUUUCAUGUUUCAGGGCAAACUAACCAACAGAGGCUCACAGCUGAAAGGCUGAGCUUUUUGAACAAGCCCUUCUCCACUCCCUCCAGAGUUCGCAGGCAAUGCAUCCUUUACUUUUGAAGUUUUGCUGGAUGGAUCAAAUAGCUAUAAGCAUGAAAUUUGACACCUCAGUUUUCAUUCCAGUCCCAGAGAAAGGCAAUGCCAAAGAAUGCUCAAA
rnacentral:lncRNA from 1 species